rnacentral:tRNA from 1 species
GGAGAGAUGCGAGAGCGGUUGAAUCGGACGGUCUCGAAAACCGUUGACCUCGCAAGGGGUCCGAGGGUUCGAAUCCCUCUCUCUCCG